rnacentral:rRNA from 1 species
CUUAGUGGCGGACGGGUGAGUAACGCGGUGGGGAACCUGCCCUGUACAGGGGGAUAACACUUAGAAAUAGGUGCUAAUACCGCAUAAGCGCACAGUAUCGCAUGAUACAGUGUGAAAAACUCCGGUGGUACAGGAUGGACCCGCGUCUGAUUAGCUGGUUGGCGGGGUAACGGCCCACCAAGGCGACGAUCAGUAGCCGGCCUGAGAGGGUGAACGGCCACAUUGGGACUGAGACACGGCCCAAACUCCUACGGAAGGCAGCAG